GCUCAGUGGGUUGAGGGUCUGACUCUUGGUUUUGGCUCAGGUCAUGAUCUCACGGCUUCGUGGGUUCAAGUCCCACAUUGGGCU
rnacentral:tRNA from 1 species